ACAUGCCUACAACAUGGCGUUAAUGAACCGGAUCCCAUCAUAACUCUGUAGUUAAGUGCACUCAGGCUAGAGUAGUACUGGGAUGGGUGACCACCCGGGAAGUCCUAGUGUUUUACAUGCU
rnacentral:rRNA from 1 species